rfam:Hammondia hammondi strain H.H.34 contig01966, whole genome shotgun sequence.
GGCAUCUUGUCGGAGUGCCUAGCGCCUGAUUUGUUCAUCAAAUUGGCCAGGCUGAGACCGUUAAUUCGGGAUCCGCGGAACCUGAUCGGGUUAAUACCCGCGAAGGGAACAAGAGUAAUCUAUCG